rnacentral:rRNA from 1 species
AGGAUUCCCCUAGUAACUGCGAGUGAAGCGGGAAAAGCUCAAAUUUAAAAUCUGGUGGUCUUUGGCCAUCCGAGUUGUAAUCUAGAGAAGUGUUACCCGCGCUGGACCGUGUACAAGUCUCCUGGAAUGGAGCGUCAUAGAGGGUGAGAAUCCCGUCUUUGACACGGACUGCCAGGGCUUUGUGGUGCGCUCUCAAAGAGUCGAGUUGUUUGGGAAUGCAGCUCAAAAUGGGUGGUAAAUUCCAUCUAAAGCUAAAUAUUGGCGAGAGACCGAUAGCGAACAAGUACCGUGAGGGAAAGAUGAAAAGAACUUUGGAAAGAGAGUUAAACAGUACGUGAAAUUGCUGAAAGGGAAACGCUUGAAGUCAGUCGCGUUGGCCGGGAAUCAACCUUGCUUUUGCUGGGCGUACUUUCCGGUCGACGGGUCAGCAUCAGUUUUGACCAUUGGAAAAAGUCUAGAGGAAUGUGGCAUCUCCGGAUGUGUUAUAGCCUCUGGUCGCAUACGAUGGUUGGGACUGAGGAACUCAGCACGCCGCAAGGCCGGGUACUUGUACCACGUUCGUGCUUAGGAUGCUGGCAUAAUGGCUUUAAUCGACCCGUCUUGAAACACGGACCAAGGAGUCUAACAUGCCUGCGAGUGUUUGGGUGGAAAACCCGAGCGCGUAAUGAAAGUGAAAGUUGAGAUCCCUGUCGUGGGGAGCAUCGACGCCCGGACCAGACGUUUUCUGACGGAUCCGCGGUAGAGCAUGUAUGUUGGGACCCGAAAGAUGGUGAACUAUGCCUGAAUAGGGUGAAGCCAGAGGAAACUCUGGUGGAGGCUCGUAGCGAUUCUGACGUGCAAAUCGAUCGUCAAAUUUGGGUAUAGGGGCGAAA